CAUAUCGACUGUUCUCUCCAUCAAAGCCGCAUUACGUAUGUUGGAUCUGAACGUCACCCUUUAUAACUGAAGUUAUGUUUUUUCUUGAUUUUGUUACGCUAAUAUGAUUAUUACCUGUAACAUGAGAUGCUUCCUGAUUUACUUAGUUAACCAAGCGGGUUGAGCUAUUAGCCAAGAAAUUAAAGAGGCGAGUCACCCUUGCUUUUAUAUUGUCGAGCCAAGCAAAUAGUGCGCAUACUUGGCAAGGCACCAACGAUCGCAGUAGCAGCUUAUCUAAGGAUGGCAGGGAGGCCACCUGUUCUUCCUUCCAGCAACCUUUAUUACUCUGAGAAUUUUCUAUACAUGCUAGAUUCAAUGGGUGACAAAUCAUAUAAACCCAAUCCCAGA